GGUGGCUGCGGCUCUGGAGUCAGAGACCGGGGCACACAGCUUACGCUUGACCAACUGUCCUGACCUGCCUUCCCUGCUCACCUGCCCCAGCCCCCAAAGUAUGUCAGCCAAGUCCAAGGGGACCACCUCCUCCUCCUCCUCUCCAACCGAGGGGCAACCAGCAGCCUCCAAAACCAAGGUGAAGGAGCAGAUCAAGAUCAUCGUAGAGGAUUUGGAAUUAGUCCUAGGGGACCUGAAGGACGUGGCCAAGGAACUUAAAGAGGUGGUUGAUCAAAUUGACACACUGACCUCUGACCUACAGCUGGAGGAUGAGAUGACAGACAGCUCCAAAACGGAUACACUGAACAGCAGCUCCAGCAGCACAACAGCAUCCAGCUUAGAGAAGAUAAAAGUGCAUACCAAUGCGCCACUCAUCAAGCCACCUGUGCACCCUUCGGCUAUCCUCACAGUCCUGAGAAAACCUAACCCUCCACCUCCUCCUCCCCGACUGACACCUGUGAAAUGUGAUGAUCCUCACAGGUCUGUGCCAACCAUCAAUCCUGUAAAAACUAAUGGCACACUUCUCCGAAAUGGAGGUUUAACUGGAGCAUCAAACAAAAUUCCCAAUGGGGACAUCUGCUGUAUACCUGGCAGUAACUUGGAGAAGAUACAGAUGCAACCUCUGAUGCACAGACCUCAGAAGGACAGGUGUCCCCAGGCAGGAACACGGGAACGGGUACGAUUUAGUGAAAAGGUGCAAUACCAUGGGUAUUGUCCCGACUGUGAUGUCCGGUAUAACAUAAAAAACCGAGAAGUCCACAUCCACAGCGACCCCCUCCACAUGCCGGGAAAGCUUCCUCACCAGUGCCCUCCUCUCCCUCCCCCACCACCCCCUCUCCCUCCUUUUCCUCUGGAAAAUGGAGGGUUGGGAAUAAGCCACAGUAACAGUUUUCCGCCUCUCAGACCUGCAACUGUGCCUCCACCCACUGCACCUAAACCACAGAAGACCAUCUUGAGGAAAUCAACCACUACAACAGUGUGAUGUAUGCCACUUGAAAACUAUUUUCAUUUUUUUCUAUAUUAUAAACAUAAAAUAAUAGAUAAUGAUGAGCACUUUCUACUCAAGCAAUAAGAAGCCCAAAUAUAUUACAGCCUGUGUUCAGUGAAGUGGCAUAAAAUCACCUGGCUGAAAGGAAUAUCUACUUUUGGAGGCAUGUCAGUUAAUUAUUUUCACAUCAGAUUCAUCACCAUGACUUCUUGCCAUCGAGAGCUGAUUAAUGAAACCAAGAACCUGACCCUCCUCAGAGCAGCAAAGUCCUCAGAGAUGGAGCACAAGAUUUUCCUGGAAUAGUUUGCAUCAUUUCAUCUGCCUUGAACCCAACAGCCAUCAGCUGAAAGCCCUGAAGAAAAGCCACAGCCUUAAGUUUCAUUCACUUAGAAAUUACUAGGAAGAUAAAACAUAGAUGAAAAGGACUAAAGCAAGUUACUUCAUGAGUUAUGAAACUUGAAACAAAGUUUUAGCAAUUAGGCCAUAAAUUUGUUUAUUUAUUUUUUUGUUUGUGAUAGGUGGAGGGGAGGGAAUUAUGCCAAGGAGGAGAAAGGACAAAAAGAUACCUCUAGUUAGAAUUAUUCUCCCAAAAGAAACUUUCAAAAUAAGCCAAAUGGAAAGCUAGAGCACUUAAGUAAUGGUAGUAAAACAUAUUGAACAAAAGGAACAUUGCCAUUUCUGGAGAAAGAAGAUUGUCACCAUCCCAUGGAAUAAACUCAAAGCCAUAGAGGAACAGCAAUGUUGAUGCUCAAUGCUUGAAAAGAUUCUGCAUCCAAUCCUUCCUACAUAUUUGAAGAGAGGGUUUGGGAAAAGUCAGCUCUUACCAACUGCAUCUCAAUGCACUUCUAAUGUUUGCACUGUCACUUCCAUUCAGGGUAAUGAUGUGUGCUGGUAUUUGCACAGAUGGUCCCAUGAGAUUUUAGACAGCUAACAAACUGUUUCUUGUAGAUGCUCUGAAAAGGGAAUAUUGAAAAACUGUGAAGAAAACAUUCCUUUUUCUCUGAAGGAGGAGAGGACUUACAUUUAGUGAAAAUAAUCCUUUCUUAAAUUUGAUAAACCACAAAAAUCACCCCAAAAAUAUGUGUGAUCAAGUAAAUUAAAAAGGGAUUGAUUAUUUUUUUAAAUGAUAAUCAUUUUAUAUCAUAACAAUAACCAAGAAGUCAAAUUCAAUGAAUUGUACAGUCCAACAUUCUGUCUAAACUUGGACACUGUUCUCCCACUUGAUAAUAAAAAAUCAUUUUUAAUAUGUAUUUGACAUAUAAAAAGUUUUUAUAGCCAUUUAUCUAUGCUUCAUGGAAAAAUGUAACAAACAGCAUUUUCAGUUUAUUUUUCUAAAUAAAUGUGUUGUUUGUAUUAUUUGCUGUUGCGUAUCCAAAUUGUUUUUCAUUACCUGAAGAAUAAUUUUUUUUCUCAAAACACAUUAACAACUCUUGUCAUGUUAAUUCAGAAUAACUGACAGACUGAAAAUUCAAACACUAUGUGCCUGUAAAAUAGAAAUAUGUUUCCACUGAAAGUCUUAAAGAGAAAUGGGAUAUUUUUAACCAUAGAUUUCAUUUAGGAGGUUAUUUUGAUAUUCAUGAGAGAUGACUAUAUUCUCUUACUGAAGAAAAUUGUCAUAUAUUGAUGAUAGACCACUUGACAAAUGGGCUUGGGUUGAGUUCUUAUUACAAUUUUGGUUUUCGGAACAAUACUCUGAAUCCCCUGGGUUUUCUGAUAUGAUUCAGCAGAAGUUGACAAAUGGGAUAAAAAUGUCAGACUUCACAUAUGAUUGUUGGUCCUUAGAAUUAUACAUAAGCUAUCCAGAGGUCUAUUUAUAUUUUUCAUCACAUCUAAAGCCAUGUUCAUAAUAGAAUGACUGAACAGUUUAGACUCAAUGAUCAAGGUUGUUCAUUUUUCAAUCUAUAAAUAUUUAUUAAACACUUCUUUUAGUUCUGAUUUCUCAGACUUAGUAUUUCAGUGGUUAUUAGCUUCUAUAAAUUGUGGAAAAUAUAAAUAGUAUUUGCCAUAAAAAAUACAUCAUUAGAGUCCCCAUUUCCUGAGUAGGAGGCACUAAUACUGUGUUCACCUAAAUCUUUUAACUUUCUACAAGUCCCCUUGACAUUUCUGCGGUAUCUUAUAACAUGACCAUAAGAAUGAAUUUGUCAUGCAUGGUUUGAUCAACUGAAAACAAAGAAUUUAUACAUGAAAAUGAUACAGUAUUUUCUAUAAGGAACACAUUUCCAGGUCCCAUGUGAUCUUGGUUGUUGAAGUAGGGAAGUAUAUGCGAUUCAAAUUGGUUUUGAAUCCAUUUGAAUUGCUUUGGGCUAUGAAUAAUUUGAAACCAAUGCAAAAGAGUCAAAAUCUUUUCAAGCAUUUGAAACUAAAUCAAAGUAAUCAAUCAAGAACAAUAACACUAUACUUUUAUUUAUUUGGGAAAUAUAUUAAAUGAUGCAUAAUGUAAUUAAACAUAUAGCCUGUAAAAGUCAAACUUGGAGAAUGCAGGACUUAAUAAUUCUGUCCUAAGUUACAUAUCCAUAACAUAAAUAUAUAUAAAUACCAUGGAUCUGUUAUUUUUCUGACUGGUACUCUGUCUUAUUACUUACAUCAGAUGAGACUAAAUAAUUUUAAAAUGCCUUUUCUAAGAAUAAGCAAAUACUAUCCUUCAUCAUCCAUUUAAGUAAAUGUCAUGAAGUAAUUGUAUGUAUGAAGUUUUAAGACUUAUAAUUCAAAAUCCAAACUGUAACUUGAGCUUGCAAUGUUGGCCUGAAGAUAACCAACUCAGUAACUGCCUAAUUAGGC